UUUGUGUCUAAUACAGGGGCUAAUACUUAAAAACCAGCGACUCUUGAGAAUUUUAAAUAAAUCCACGCAGUCCACAUUACAUGCCAUAAUUUUUGGCUGUUGUCAAAAGUACUAUAGCUGCAUAUAUUAGCGGCUCUUUUUCAAAUACCGAAUAAAUUUGCGUCAAAUCAAAUUCAAUUUUUGCAUUAAUAAAUUAGUUUCGACGCUCAUUCUUG